GACGAACGCUGACGGUGUGCUUUAGGCAUGCAAGUCGAACGAGAAAGCCCUUCGGGGUGAGUAAAGUGGCGAACGGGUGAGUAACACGUGGGCAACCUGCCCCUCGCAGGGGGACAACCGGAGGAAACUCCGGCUAAUACCCCGUACGUUCCCAGGGUCGCAUGGCCUUGGGAGGAAAGGUAGCUUCGGCCAUCCGGCGAGGGAUGGGCCCGCGGUGCAUUAGCUAGUUGGUGGGGUAACGGCUCACCAAGGCAACGAUGCAUAGCUGGUCUGAGAGGAUGAUCAGCCACACUGGGACUGAGACACGGCCCAGACUCCUACGGGAGGCAGCAGCCAGGAAUCUUGGGCAAUGGGCGCAAGCCUGACCCAGCAACACCGUGUGGGCGAUGAAGGCCUUCGGGUCGUAAAGCCCUGUUGAUAGGGACGAAGGGCGAAGGGUUAAUAGCCCCUAGCCUGACGGUACCUUUCGAGGAAGCCCCGGCUAACUACGUGCCAGCCGCCGCGGUAACAC
rnacentral:rRNA from 1 species